GAUGAAGAACGUAGCGAAAUGCGAUAAGUAAUGUGAAUUGCAGAAUUCAGUGAAUCAUCGAAUCUUUGAACGCACCUUGCGCCCUUUGGCCAUUCCGAAGGGCAUGCCUGUUUGAGUAUCAUGAACACCUCAACUCUUCAUGGUUUUCCAUGAUGAGCUUGGACUUUGGGGGUCUUGCUGGCCUGUGGGUCGGCUCCUCUCAAAUGAAUCAGCUUGCCGGUUUUUGGUGGGCAUCACAGGUGUGAUAACUAUCUACGCUUGUGGUUUUCCACCAGGGUAACCUUCAGCAGUGGAGGUUCACUGGAGCUUACAAAUGUCGCUCCUCUGUGAGGACAGCCCUUUGAAUGUUUGAUCUCAAAUCAGGUAGGACUACCCGCUGAACUUAAGCAUAUCAAUAAGCGGAGGA
rnacentral:misc_RNA from 1 species